GACGAACCGUGCGAACGUUGUUCGGAAUCACUGGGCUUAAAGGGCGCGUAGGCGGCUUGCCAAGUCAGUGGUGAAAUCCUGCAGCUUAACUCCAGAACUGCCUUCGAUACUGGCGAUCUCGAGUCCGGAAGAGGUGAGUGGAACUCCUAGUGUAGAGGUGGAAUUCGUAGAUAUUAGGAAGAACACCAGUGGCGAAGGCGGCUCACUGGUCCGGUACUGACGCUGAGGUGCGAAAGCGUGGGGAGCAAACAGG
rnacentral:rRNA from 1 species